GUAGAACUCCGGGUUCUCUGAUGUCAUCGCCUAGAGCUGCGAGGAACAGGGAUCUUUAAAAAUAGGCUUCGUUAGUUUGCAGAUAAUUUGUUUGCAAGCUGUCCCAUAAUCGGUCCAAGUGUCACAAAUUUACAGGCUGCGGUGUGACCUGGAGAAAAACGCUUUACAGCUCUGCGCGCCAAUUUUUCGCUCUUCUCUCUCCCUGCAAAUGUAGCUCCACUGCCUACUUACAAUGGUGUUAAUAGUACAGGAGGGUAAGAGAGACUUAAAGAAGGGUUAGUCGAAAUUCUUUCAGCAACGGUGGAGCAUAAAUAUGUAUUCUGGUAAAUAUUCGUUGAGUGUUUAGCAAUUUCUCGAGCACUUAACUGUGUGCCAAGUACGCGAUAGGCAACCCGGCAUUCAUCUGAGAAAGAGACACUGUCACUGCCCUUAUGGAGCCUGCAGCUUGGGGGAAACUCGUCCGCAAACUAGCAAAAUCGUUCCAGAUUUUAAUAGAAUGGCCAGACUGAGAAAGUUCAAGAGACAGUAGCGGUGGCGGGGACGGGGGGAGGCUCUUCAGAGAGAGUGGCAAGUGCCUACAACAGAAGUAUGUGUUGAAUGAUGAAUGCCACAGUCCCC
rnacentral:lncRNA from 1 species